CUUGAUUAGUUGGCUACAUUGUUGACCUAUAUUUAAGCAGAUCUAUAAACAAAAGAACAAUUUCACUUCCUUAGGGCCCACAGCAGAGGAAAUGGCAAUGAGCAAAGAGCAGAGUCCUUGGCUUCCCUUUUUCAGAAUCUUCUAGGCCAUGAUCAUUGGUGCCUCUGUGGACAGCCUCUGUCUGCAGAUCAGAGCACCAUUGCCAGUUGCCAAGAGGAACUUUCUCUGAGGCUUCUGGAAGAGGAAUCCAUGCUGCUGUGGCUUUUGCUGCUGGUUCUAGGGAUCCCUGUGUCUUUUGUCUCCAUGGAAACGCUACCUCCAAGGGGGCAGGUGGUUGAAGAGAAGAUGCUGGCUGGUCCUUGUCUGCUCUGAGUCUGAAGGCACAGGGGGCAUCAUGUUUUCCUGACACAGAGAGGACACAAAGGGGAGCCUGGAGAGGAAAACUUGGCUUUUCUAGGUCUCCCGGGGCCCAGGCUGCCAUGGGGGAAGUGGUGGAGCUUCACUGUGAGGCCCAGAGGGGCUCUCCCCCAAGCCUGUACCAGUUCUAUCAUGAGGAUGUCACCCUGCGGAGCAGCUCAGCAUCCUCUGGAGAAGGAACAUCCCACAACCUCUCUGCAGAACAUUCUGGAAAAUCCUGUGUCAGGCCAACAAUAGCCUAGGAGCCCAGCCCAGUGAGGCAGUGCUUUUCAAUGUCAUUCAGCUUGAGCCUUGGCUAUGGGCUCUCUUUCAAAAGAUAAACUCCAAGCAUGCCAGUGUAUGAGGAAGAGUAUUUCGUGAAGACUGGAUUUCCUCAGUGACUUACAGUGGAAACAGAGACAGGAGGUCAUGAAAAUUAGUUGCUAGCCUCCCACUAGCCUGAGAGGAGUGGGCUACACUCCAGGGCAUUGGACAAAUAACUGAACAUCACUUAACCAUUUCAAACUAAGGCAAAAUGCACUGGAACGCCUGCCCGAUUCCGCACUUCACACCCCUUCCUCUGGAGUAUCUUCAGGAUUCCAGCCUGAGUCCCUGACCUCUGAGCCUCACCCACAGAACACUCUCCUCAGAGGUCCCCUAGGACAAAGGCCAUGCCACCUUCUGGUUGCAGUGACUGGGGGACGCUGCUUGGUUUCCUGGCAACUACUGCUCUGUUUUUUACCUGUGGCUCCAGAGGAAGUCAGAAACCUGUCCAGCCCAGAUCUCCGUGAACGCCUCUGCUGCAGCUCACCUAACCCAGCCAGGGACCAGGAGCCCAUGGAAAGCAAUGAUGAGUACUGAGGAAAGAUGUAGGGAUGAGAGGUGAAGAAAGAACAGCCCACAGCAGCCUCAGCUGAGCAGCAGUAAAAGGAACCUGUAGUUGGAGCUCUUCUUAAGAAGUCUGAAAAUCAGGAGUUCCCAUCGUGGCACGCGGAAACAAAUCCGACUAGGAACCAUGAGGUUGAGGGUUCGAUCCCUGGCCUUGCUCAGGGGGUUGGGGAUCCAGCGUUGCUGUGAGCUGUGGUGUAGGUCACAGACAUGGCUUGGAUCUGGCAUUGCUGUGGCUGUGGGGUAGGCUGACAGUUGUAGCUCCGAUUAGACCCCUAGCCUGGGACCCUGCAUAUGCUGCAGGUGCGGCCCUAAAAAGACAAAAAAAAAAAAGUCUGAAAAUCAGAUAAUAACAGAUCUUCAGACUUGGUAAUGGUAUUUAUUCUGGAGCUGAAUCUCAGCUUCUGCUUUCAAAUGGUGCAUGUGCUCCCCAAUUAACCACAGUAUCUGCCGCUUGGUAUUGUUUCCUUGAAUCUGAGCCAAGUGACAGCUGCCAUUUAGUCCCUCAAACAUCCAAUUAUUUACUCACAAUAGACUUAAGAAAAGAGUGCCUCUUUUACCCAUGUCUCUGGCAAAAGUAGGAAAAUAAAAGACAGAAAAAGAAGAGUCUGUGGUUUCAAGAAGAGAUCAUUUCCUUGUAAAAGUAAAAAGUAUUCCUAUAUAUAUGCAAAUAAAGUGUGUCUUUGUUGAUUAAAUACAAAUAAAGAUACCAUUAUAAAACA
rnacentral:lncRNA from 9 species